AACGAACGCUGGCGGCAUGCCUAACACAUGCAAGUCGAACGACACCUUCGUGUCUGCUUGCGCACGCGUGCGUAACGCGUCGGACCCUGCCCUUAGGUUCGGAAUACCUCUCUUAAGGGGGUGCUAAUGCCGGGUAAUUUACUCUGACCACACAUUUGUCGCAUUUGGAUGGGCACGCGUUGUUUUAGCUUGUUGGUAUGGUAAAAGCCUAUCAAGGCGACGAUCCAUAGCUGGUCUGAGAGGAAGAGCAGCGACACUGGGACUGAGACACGGCCGAGACUACUACGGGAGGGAGCAGAGGCGAAUACAGGACAAUGGGCGAAAGGCUGAACGAGCAAUGGCGGGUGAGUGAUGAAGGUGGUAGGGAAGAAAAGCACGUUUAUACGGGAUGAUAAUGACAGUACCGGGAGAAUAAGCACCGGCUAACUUCGUG
rnacentral:rRNA from 1 species